rnacentral:lncRNA from 1 species
UAGGGGGACGUUCUAUUUGGGUAUUUAUGGUCAUAUAGCAAACGUUACAAACGGACAUUUGGACGUUAACAGAACGUUCUCGCGUUGUCCUCUGUUGGUCAUAUAAUAACGUUCUCGUUAUUACUUUAGGGGGACGUUCGAGUAUUGGUUAUUAUAUGGUCACACAACAACGUUACAAAGAGGACAUUCGGGACGUUAACAGAACGUUCUCGCAUGGUCCUCUGUUGGUCAUAUAAUAACGUUCCCAAUGUGACUUUAGGGGAACGUUCCAUACUGGUUAUUAUAUGGUCACACAACAACGUUACAAAUAUGACAAAUUAAUGAAAGCAAAUAUGUAUUAAAUGUACAUCUAAUUAAUUCAUGAAAAUAUUAAAGAAUAAUACAAUAAGUAUAAAACUUAAAAAUAAUAACACUUACAUGCUAGCCAAUUUAUUAGGUCCUAAUUCUGUGGGUUGGAUUUGAUAUUUUUUACUUCAAAAUAAAAAUUAUGACUUUUACUCUACAAAUCUAAAAACCUUGAUGUGUCCAUAAAUCCCUUAUUAACAAACAGACAUACAAAACAAUACAAUGUCAUAGAUCAAGGCAACGUAAAAAUUAGCGAUUCAUAAGUGAUGCAGUUCAAUUUUUCACCACAGAUUUACCUUGGAAAAUUGUGGAGUUUUGUGGAACUCAACACUGUCUCCUAGCCUACUGCUGAAGUCGUGCGUUAAAUUUGAAUUUAUCAAGUGCACUUUACGACUUGAUAUAGUCUAAAAAUACUUACCGACAUUGCUGCAGAAUGAAGGGAGAGCUGCAGACCCAUUCAACUGUGAGCCACUGCUGCUGGUGCUGGCUAUACCUCCCAUUGUCCUUCCUUUAUGUGCGGAGUGGGGAGCGCGCGCACUGCAGGGCAUGGAAGCGCCCAUGCAAUCUCUUGCAUUUUUUCCUGUCAACAGUGUAAACAACUUAAAAUACUCCAUCAUUUCUGGUCAUACAGAUAAGAAUAAUACAUUAUUCAAAGCUUAAAUUAUUUGUGUAAACUCACAAUAUCAAGAAAACGUUGUGCUUUUGCAAAAUAAACCACCACAAAAAGGACUGUUUUAAAGGUUAUAUCUGCUAUGAAUAUGAAGUUUGAAGAUUGUUGUAUUGUACUGAAUCUUCUAUAAAGAUGAAUAUGACAUUUCGUUAAUUUAAAAAUAAGCACUUUAAUGUUGUAUAAAUAAAUAAUCAACUUUUGUUCUGUUAGAUGUGUUUUGACUACUUUUUGUAUGUUGUAUAAUUAUAAUAUCUAGGUAAUGAAGAUAUAUUAACAAAAAAUAAAUAAAUAAAUAAAUAAAAAUCCAUGUAUAUAAAUAUAAACAAAAACACAAAAACAAAAACCGCUUGAGCGAUUCAGGAAAGCAGCUGCUUGAUAAAGUGGACAAAGUUAAUGGCGAUUUCAAAUUGUCCACAAACUCAAUGUGAUGGCCACAAAGAUCACACCACAAGACUGAACUUCAUUCAUUAACAGACGCUAAGUACCGUUGCCAUGAAAAACAAAGCGUUGCUAUGGACGCAGGAUUCUAACCUUAGAGACGGAAAGGGCUAUAUUUUCUUUAUUAUUUUCUUUAUUAUUUUUUCACAUUAUCCCUUACAUAAUAUAACGUAAUUAUUAGUAUUAUAACGCAAUAUAUCAUUAUAUAAAUAUAAUAAAAUAAAAAACGUUUAACACCUAACUGUUAUGUGACAAAUUCUAAAUCUGGCAGUGGGUAUAUAAGCUCACACACAGCGUACUCACACCUCACUCACUCAGUGGACAUCCCAACUGGACAUGCGGUCUAUUAUUUCUUGUUAACAGACGCUAAGUACCGUUGCCAUGAAAACAAAGCGUUGCUAUGGACGCAGGAUUCUAACCUUAGUAGACGGAAAGGGCUAUAUUUUCUUUAUUAUUUUCUUUAUUAUUUUUUCACAUUAUCCCUUACAUAAUAUAACGUAAUUAUUAGUAUUAUAACGCAAUAUAUCAUUAUAUAAAUAUAAUAAAUAAAAACGUUUAACACCUAACUGUUAUAUGACACAUUCUAAAUCUGGCAGUGGGUAUAUAAGCUCACACACAGCGUACUCACACCUCACUCACUCAGUGGACAUCCCAACUGGACAUCCCAACUGGACAUCCCAACUGUCAGUUUCUCUGAGGUAAAUGUCUUUUUAAUUAACCAUUUUAUUUAAUUAAAACACAAACAAAUGACAUAUAAAUAUGUAGACUAUUGUAUUAAUUAAUUAGUUAAUAA